rnacentral:lncRNA from 1 species
GAAGCUAAGGUUAGAGAGACAAGAAUAAUAUGAUGUACUCUUAGGCUCUGUUUGGUUGGCGGUAUAAGAAGGGAUAACAGAAGUUAUCCCUGCUAUUCCGCCAAACAAAAUAAUUUUUGGCCGGGAUAUUUUAUUCCGGUCAAACCUUACUAUUCCCGACUAUUCCGGAAUAGCAUGGGAUUUGCUAUUCCACCAUUUUGAUGGAAUAGUGCUAUUCCAAUGCUUAAUUUCAAACUUAAUUAAAAUUAUGAAUUGAAUUAAAACUAAAUUAUAUAAAUAUAAUAUGUUAUAUAUUAUAAUACAUUUUUUUGUUAUAAAAUUAUUAAUUGUACUAUAUUAAUAAUAUUAUUUAUAUUUAAAUAUUAUAAUAAAUUUUAUAAUAAAUUAUAUUUAAAUAUUAUAAUAAAUUAUUUUUAUUAAAUUUAAGUUUAAGUAGAAAUUUAAAAAAAAUUAUAAAUUUAUUAAUAAUAAAAAAAUUUAUAAAUUUAUUAAAAUAUUUAUUUUUAUCAAAUUUAUAAUUUUAUUAUAAUAAAUUAUUUUUAUUAAUUGUUCCAACCCUAUUCUUAUUUAAAAAAUUUAAAAUAUAAAUAUUUAAAUUUAAAAUUUAAAUUUUUAAAAUUUAAAAUUUGUAAUCUCAAAAUUAAA